CAGCAGCCGCGGUAAUACGUAGAGUGCAAGCGUUGUCCGGAAUUAUUGGGCGUAAAGGGUACGCAGGCGGAUAGUAAAGUCAAGCGUGAAAAGGUCGYCGGCUUAACCGACAAGACUGCGUUUGAAACUGRUCUAAUCUUAGAGUGUAACUAAGAAGGAGUAGUGGAAUUCCUCAUGUGUAGUCGGUGAAAUAGCGUUAGAUAUUAGGAAGGAACACCCAGUGGCCGAAGGCCGACUCAUCUGGGUUAGACUACUGACGCUGAGGUACGAAAGGCUGGGGGAGCAAACGGGAUUAGAUACCCCGGUAGUCCCACGCCGUAAACGAUGGAUACUAGGUCGUUGGAGGUUCGAAUCCUUCUAGUGCCGGAGUUAAMGCAUUAAGUAUCCGCCUGGGGAUUACG
rnacentral:rRNA from 1 species